CAGUAGCCGCGGGAAUACGAAGGGGGCUAGCGUUGCUCGGAAUGACUGGGCGUAAGGGGCGCGUAGGCGGCAUAUACAGUCAGGCGUGAAAUUCCUGGGCUUAACCUGGGGGCUGCGUUUGAUACGUAUAGGCUAGAGUGGGGAAGAGGGUUGUGGAAUUCCCAGUGUAGGGGUGAAAUUCGUAGAUAUUGGGAAGAACACCGGUGGCGAAGGCGGCAACCUGGUCCUUGACUGACGCUGAGGCGCGAAAGCGUGGGAGCAAACAGAAUUAGAUACCCGCGUAGUCCCUGUCUCUUAUACA
rnacentral:rRNA from 1 species